GCUCUCGUAGCUCAAUUGGACAGAGCGUCUCGUUCCGGACGAGAAGGUUGGGUGUUCGAGUCACCCCGGGAGCACCA
rnacentral:tRNA from 3 species